AUGAGCGACAUGGCCGCGCCGGCGGCGGGCAUCAGCGGCAUCAUCGACCCGGAAGUUCUCGACUGCACCAUCUGCUUCGACCCCCUCCAGCCUCCGGUCUUCCAGUGCGCCGUUGGGCAUGUGAUCUGCUCACCCUGCCAAGGCAAACUCAUAAACAAGGAGAACUGCAACACGUGCUCCCUCCCCGGCGGGUACAACCGAUGCUACGCACUCGAAAAAAUCCUGGAGUCCCUCCGCAUCCCUUGCGCCAACGCCGCGUACGGGUGCACCGUGAAGACGCACUAUCACGAGGUGGAGGACCAUGGCAAGUCAUGCCCCCACGCGCCAUGCUUCUGUCCGGAACCUGGCUGCAACUUCGCCGGCUCCACCGUUGCACUCCUGGCUCAUCUUACCGGCGGUCAUAUGUGGCCAUCCACCGAGUUGGAGUACAAUGUUAAGCUCACACUGGAGGUGAAAGCAGGAGUGCAUGUUCUCCACAGGCGAGACAGGAGUCCCUUUUUCCUCGUGAAGUUCACUCCGGCGCCGCCACCUUACGGCAGCGCCGCCUCAGUUUUGUGCGUAGAUCCUGAUGCCACCGCCACCAUGGAGAAGGGGCGCAAGUUCAGGUGCCAACUUGGCUCGAGCAACGUCGACAUGGAUUGGCAGCAAUAUUCGCGUUUCCAGGUCAGGAGCACCACGCUCUCCGACGGGUGGCCACCGACAGAGGACGGCGGUUCCCUAUAUGUUGCACCCAGCACCGAGAGCAUCACUGUCAGUAUCACGAAGAUAAUGCGCGACAUAUGCUCAUUGCCUGCCAGGAAAAACAUCAGGUCACAGCAGCUAGAGCACUUCUGCAAAAGAAAGUCGAGCAACCCUGAUGCGAAGACCUUCAGUCAACCGCGGAUGGGAGAAUCUACAAAAAAGCAACAUAUCAGUACGAUGUAG
rnacentral:rRNA from 1 species